rnacentral:rRNA from 1 species
GAUGAACGCUGGCGGCGUGCUUAACACAUGCAAGUCGAACGUGAGGAUAGCAAUAUCUGAAAGUGGCAAACGGGUGAGUAACACGUGGGAACCUGCCCUGGAGUGGGGGAUAACGGCUGGAAACGGUCGCUAAUACCGCACGGUUCUACUCUAUCGGGAGUUGAGUAGAUAAAGAUUAAUCGCUCUGGGAGGGGCCUGCGGCCGAUUAGCUAGUUGGAGAGGUAAAGGCUCACCAAGGCAAUUAUCGGUAGCUGGUCUGAGAGGACGAUCAGCCACACGGGAACUGAGACACGGUCCCGACUCCUACGGGGGGCAGCAGUGAGGAAUAUUGGGCAAUGGGCGAAAGCCUGACCCAGCAACGCCGCGUGGAGGAUGAAGGCUUUAGGGUUGUAAACUCCUUUUGUGGGGGAAAAGUAAGGAUGGUACCCCAAGAAUAAGUCACGGCUAACUACGUG